CAAAUGAACCAGGGAAUUCACAAGAUAAACUUAUUAUAAGUUUCAAAAGUGGUUAAUAGAAUAUUACAAUCGAUAUAGUUUACAAAAUCUGCAUAGCGACAAAUCCGGAAAACAUACGUUCUCUCUGUUUACGUUUUUCUACUUAUUUUAAUUGUAUAUCACGUGGUAUAGAUGUUUAUUAUGUAUCUCGAACACGUUUAUUUUAUUCAUUCUUGUGUGUUGGAAUAUUCUUAACUUAUUUGUUGACUUGUAUUUACAAUACAUUACAGUUAUGUCCCUUACUUCAGAUUUGAAGAUAUCCCAAAUAUCUCUAGAAUCUGUGAUUUUUUAGAGUGGCAAUCACCAUAGAUGUGGAAGUAGCUUGUACAAAAAAUACAUGAACUAUAUAGAAGGAACUAAUUUUCAGUUUUUGGGUACCUAAGGCAAUAGUGGUGUUUUUAAUAUGCCAAUCUUUGAAAUUGAUACUAAUUGUGUCCAGGUGAACUAAGUGAGAUAAUGUACAUGUAUAUGGCCGAUCUUGUUCAGUUUUAAAGUUAUUCCUGGUACAUGUAUGUGAGGAAUUGAGACAUUUAUUAACAUGGAUUUUAUAUUUCAAGGAAGUGAUUUCAUCAACUAAGUGAUGUGGAACGCAGCUACAGUUAAUCAAUUUACCAAUCAUACUGGAACCAUUCAGAUUGGGAUUUACACGUGUUUUGAAUUGAUUCUUGGUUAAUAAAAAGAUGAUAAUAACUUUCAAUGGAUCAACUAUUUGAUCAUGUUCAUUUGUUUUUAUGAUAAUCAUAAUAAAAUAUUUCAUAUCAACAUUUAA